CAACCAGCUACCAAUGGGCUUUAGUCCAGUACAAGUCGAGUCCAGCAUAUCUAGGCCAAAGCCUAUAAACCGGCAGCCACAUCAAAUCUCUUUUGUCCUCCUUGGAACGCUUUCCCGGGGAGAAUGCAGUGGGCUUAAGAGAUGUGGUGAAGAGGAUGUGGUUGUGGGAGACCACUAGUAAAUAGUAGCAUGUAUUCUUUACUGUAAGAGCAGUGAGACUAUGAAACUCUGUCUCAUGAUGUUGGGAUUGCCGAUUGAACUUAGAAUAGCCGAGUCCAACAGCAACGUGAAUGAGGCCUUACAUGUUCUAAUGACUUCUUUAGGCCGUGUGUUAUCCUUGCACAACAUACAGUAUUUGUAGUCUCCUUUUCCAUAUUUUCAGCAUGGUCAUCUGACUGUUCAAUCUUUCUCUAGCUGCCAUUGUGUCCUGUAACCGUUCCUCUGCAUAUAUUUUCCUUGAAUGUAUCUUGUGCCUUGUA